UGGGGAAUCUUGGACAAUGGGCGCAAGCCUGAUCCAGCCAUGCCGCGUGGAUGAUGAAGGCCUUAGGGUUGUAAAAUCCUUUCGCCGAGGACGAUAAUGACGGUACUCGGAGAAGAAGCUCCGGCUAACUUCGUGCCAGCAGCCGCGGUAAUACGAAGGGGGCUAGCGUUGUUCGGAUUUACUGGGCGUAAAGCGCGUGUAGGCGGGUCGUUAAGUUGGGGGUGAAAUCCCGAGGCUCAACCUCGGAACUGCCUUCAAAACUGGCGACCUGGACCUAAGUAGAGGCAAGUGGAAUUGCGAGUGUAGAGGUGAAAUUCGUAGAUAUUCGCAGGAACACCAGUGGCGAAGGCGACUUGCUGGACUUAUGGUGACGCGUAGAC
rnacentral:rRNA from 1 species